AGCUUCUCAAUACUCGAGUUUAGAAGUCGCUCCUCCGGGUUUGCAGGCAACGAAAAAGAAUGUGGUGGUGCCGCUCGGUUCUUCGCCAUGGCCAAACACUGCUGCGGCCUCCUUCCUGUCGGCCACCAUGGCUUGCUUCUUCAUUCCUUUACUCGGAUAUGCCCAACAAGAAAGGCAAACUUGCUCCCUUGCAGGAGAGGAGGAUGGUGGAUAGGUUUAGGCUGUGGGCAAAGGGAGGCGAAGGUGGAAAUGGUUGCUGCAGCUUUCGGCGCACCAGAACUGACCAACAUAGAAAACCAGAUGGUGGAAAUGGUGGAAGAGGUGGUGAUGUUAUUCUUGAAUGCUCUGCAGCAGUUUGGGACUUCAGUAAUUUGCAUCAUCACUUGAAUGCAAAAAGAGGAGGGCAUGGAGUUUCAAAGAAUCAGAUAGGGAGUCGUGGAUCUGACAAGGUUGCGCAGGUCCCGGUUGGCACAGUAGUUCACCUAGUUAGCGGUGAAAUUCCUUGUUUUGUGGAAAGUAUUUCCAUAGCAUCUUUAAAUCCUUGGGAAAUACCUGGAACUCUUGAAGGCAAUCCAUCUAAAUCGGUUCAGCAUGAUGAUAGAAGGGUCAUUGCAUCAGGUGGAUUGGAAAAGAAAAACUUUGAUGAUUCACAGUCAUAUUUUGAAAGUGAUGUUGCUAAAGCACCUGGCAAUAUGGGAUCUUCUAGAUCUACUCAAAUAGAAUGCAGAGAAGAUGUAACUCAUUCUUAUUCUGUAGUAGCCUAUACAGACAUUAAAGAUAAGGAAGUUACUGAGGAAGAAUAUGAAAUAGAAGAAGAAGAAGGAGAAGAAGAAGAGAUCGAGGAGAAAGUGAUGCAGUAUUCAGUUGCAGAAUUAACAGAACCAGGGCAGUGUAUGGUAGUUGCUCGUGGAGGUGAGGGUGGUCUGGGUAAUGCUUCUCUCAAAAAGGAUAACAAGUCCCGCAGGCGUAUGCACUAUAGUAAUGCUACCACCAGUUUUUUGGAAGGUGAAGAUCAAUCCUCAUUAACUGUUGGUAGGCCUGGCUCAGAAACUGUGCUUAUAUUAGAACUAAAGAGUAUUGCAGAUGUUGGCCUUGUUGGGAUGCCCAAUGUUGGUAAAAGCACAUUACUAGGAGCUCUUUCAAGGGCUAAGCCAGCUGUGGGUCAUUAUGCUUUUACUACUCUAAGGCCAAAUAUAGGAAAUCUGAAUUAUGAGGACUUCUUCUCAGUGAAGGUGGCUGAUAUUCCUGGGCUUAUAAAAGGAGCACAUGAGAAUCGUGGACUGGGGCAUGCUUUCCUGAGGCACAUAGAGCGUACCAAGGUUCUGGCCUUCGUUGUCGACCUGGCAGCAGCAUUGAAUGGGAAAAAGGGUAUUCCACCAUGGGAACAACUGAAAGAUUUGGUUUUGGAACUUGAAUAUCAUCAGGAAGGUUUGUCGAAUCGCCCAUCUUUAGUGGUGGCCAACAAAAUUGACGAAGAAGGGGCAGAAAAUGUGUAUGAAGAAUUAAAGAAACGAGUUCACGGCGUUCCAAUAUUUCCAAUAUGUGCUGUAUUAAAAGAGGGAGUGCCAGAAUUAAAAGCUGGUCUUCGGAGGCUCAUAGAUGGAAGUGAAUCACAGAGACUCCAUAUAGAUAGAAUUAUCAAUGACUAGCUUAAUUUGUUUGAGAUUCACAAUUGAGAAGGCUCUCGUAGGGCUUUAAGAAGAAAGGCCUUGUCGCAAAGCCAAUUCAUAGUGGGAUGUGCAGUGCGAACUGGUCACUUCAUUGCUCAGCCUCUUAGGUUGAUUAUUUAUGGAGAAUGGGCUCUAACUCUGGCAGCUUAGUUAAAUUAUCAUUUCAACCUACAUAAAACAGGGUGUUCUGUUGGCAUGGAAUAUAUUGACCUCUUCUGGCGCUGUCAAUUAUUAGCUC